GUCGGUCCGCUGCAGCCUCAACUGCGUAUAUGAUGGAGGGGUCCUCAUCAAAAUGGAUAUUGCCAUUGAACGAACACCUGCCGGUGCGAUUCUGAAUAACCUGGGGGCUCUACAAGGGUAUGCAGCAGCCGCGAGCUGAAAGACCAAGCGGGCCGCCGAGGCUCUCCGGAAACGGAAAGCAGCUAAACAGCCCCGCGCGACGAGACUGGCUGCGUGAACGUCUUAAAUACGGCUCACUUCUCUGAAAAAUCCAUGGUGAAGUUCCAGACCCAUUUCGACGGAAAGAGAUCGAGAUCAGCUACAGGCUGCCGUGCACUUCAAACGUCUGCAACGACAUGUGCAACGCGCGUGGCUGUUUCAACGGCAUAUGCAAGUAUUCGCCGGACCAAGUGGGCGCACCUCGCAUAUGCGUAUGCAAGGGAUACGCAUCUAUGUGCUCCUGAAUGAACGCCACCGUGCGACGUCUCCGAGAAGCAAGACAGAAGGGAACGAAAAUAUUGUGCUAUGAGCCACGCGGAGACGGCACCAAGCUAUGUCUUCCCGGAUUUCCUUCGGAUUAGGAACAAAGAUUAAACAACAAAUAAAUGAAUUGGUGAAUGUUUAAGCA